GCCAGAAUUCUAAAUUAAACUAUCUUCUGA
rnacentral:tRNA from 1 species